CGGAACUUCCAGCAGGAAUCGAUGUUUCAGAGGAGCUGCUGGUGAUCUGAGAAGGUUACUUAUGUAAGGGAAUGUGAUGCAAAGGUUAUCACUUCUAUCACUCAUAACAUGUGACAUGACGGCACCUAUACCAGAAGACGAGGCAUCACAGUCAAGCCUUGCUGGACAACGUGGAUCAUAAUGUGACAUCACUGCAGGAGUUCCUCAGGGAAGUGUCCGAGGACCAACCAUCUUCAGCUGCUUCAUCAAUGACCCUCCUUCCAUGAAAAGAUCAGAAGUGGGGACAUUCUCAGAUGACUGCACAAUGUUCUGUACCAUUUCACUGACUUCUCCAGUGCGUUCAACACCAUCCGCCCUGCUCUGCUGGGGGAGAAGCUGACAGCAAUGCAGGUGGAUGCUUCCCUGGUGUCAUGGAUUCUUGAUUACCUGACUGGCAGACCACAGUACGUGUGCUUGCAACACUGUGUGUGCGACAGAGUGAUCAGCAGCACUGGGGCUCCACAGGGGACUGUCUUGUCUCCCUUUCUCUUCACCAUUUACACCUCGGACUUCAACUACUGCACGGAGUCUUGUCAUCUUCGGAAGCUUUCUGAUGACUCUGCCAUAGUUGGAUGCAUCAGCAAGGGAGAUGAGGCUGA